UUUUGAUCAUUUUUCACAGAGAGAACUGAAUUGUACUUUAAUUUAAAAAUCUGUUUUAGUUGUGGAUGGACACAGUGCCUCUAUUUAUUCAUCUGUUUCAUGUGGCGCUGAGACGGAACCCGAGGCCUCACAUGUGCUGGGCAGGGCUCUCCCGCUGAGCCCCGGCCCUCGCCCUGGUAAUUCGAUUUUCAGAAGCAUGGUUGGUCAAAAUUUGUUUUGUGCUUUUAAAAAUGUUUCGUGCCUUCCCGAGUUUCAUUUCUGGUGAUGUCCUAGACAUCGUGGGACUGUCUCAGAUUAGGGGAAACCUGUAUCGAGCUUUUUGCUUUUUCCCAGAUGGGGCAGUGGGGUGGUUGGAUUCUCCUGGACGGUGACUGGUCCCAAGCCGUCUUUGGCCUGUGCCACCCCGUGGCCGGCUGUCUGCGGACGCCUGGCUGCCGCAGAGGGUUAGGGCUUCAGGUAGUCUUCAACCUAAGGUUCCCCGUCUGUUCGCGGGAGGACUCCUCGGCUAAUGGUGCCACUGACCCCCAAGGGUCUGCGGACCUACUCUGCAGGUGGACUCUGGCCUUACGAAUGGAUUGCUUUGGGUUCCCAUCUGCUCUCCAUCUCAAAGAGGAACCUCUUUAGAUUUCGAGAUUCGUCUUCUCCCUCUGCACUUCCUCUUGGUCCCUUAAUAACCAAACACACCGGAACAGGAGGAAAGGGGCCCCCAGGAUGCCCAGGGAAGGGCAGACCUGCCCCUGGCGAGGCGCCGAUGCCCGGGUUAGGUUCCUGCCCAGACCUGCCCCUCCGUUCAGCUUGAAGGACAGACAGACCUCCAAGAUGGCCAUCCAGGGACUCACAGCAGGAAGUGGGGGGCCGUGGGUGCUGCAUGUGGUGGAGACGUGGCAUCAGACACCCUGGGUGGGGGCUCUCAGGUACACUGGUCCCCUGGUCUGGGGUCCUCCCUGUCCAGGGUGUCCUGGUCCUUCAGGCCUGGGCAGCCCCUGCCUCCUCCGGGGAGUCCCCAGCCUUUCCCACUCCCUCCCAGGGCUCUCUAGUCCCUUGUGGCAACUGUGGCCCUUGCUGCUCUCCGCACUCUGAGGGGGACCAACCCGGCAAGGGAGAGCCCCGGUCUCCUGCUGCCCUAAGCUGUCACAUCAUACCUGCACAGGUUUCUGGGUGCCUCUUGGCGUGUGAUACACGUGUACUGACCAGGUCAAGAUCAGGUGGACGGAACGUCUUUAUUUCCACAUGUUUAUUUCUGACGCGGUGCUAAGGACGGCGCCCUGAGCCUCACACGCCGGGCCAGCGACGGAGCUACAGCCACAGCGCUACCAACUGCUUUUCCUGCCCCUCUUGAGAUCGUCUGUUUGUCUGCUAUAAUCUUUGAAUCCUGCAAUUAAUGUUUUGAAAAUCAGACCUCAGGGGCAAAGAGUAGAAUUGAUUCCACCCACGGAUUUGAGGUGCGCCGUGCCCGGCAGUCCAUUUAUGAUGCCUGUCUCUAUCCCACUCUCCUCCCGACUCACACCUACCUGCUCUACUCCACUUAACAGAGUCUUGGACAGUCACGUAUCUUUCGGAAUAGGGUGGCUCCACAAUUCCCGUUAUGAGAACACUGCGCGGAGCAUCCUCAUGCGUGGACUGUUGGACCAGACUCGGAACUUUCCCGGGAUACGAACGUUCCAGAGCGGGACGGCUGGGUCGUAGGACGUAGGAGCAUUUAACUCACUUACUCUGGUAGUUCCUCUGAAUGGCUGCUCCAUGUGUCACCGCCAUCAGCAGGGCAGGAAGGCUCCCGCCUCCCCGCGCCCACCCACGCGUGGUUUAUGCGCAUCUCUCUGUUUUGCCAAUGUGAUGGUUACACAAGGAUAUCUCUAGGCUCUAACUUGCACUUCUCUGGUUACAGUAAACGUGAACAUCGUCCGUA